rnacentral:rRNA from 1 species
AGAGUUUGAUCCUGGCUCAGAACGAACGCUGGCGGCGCGCCUAACACAUGCAAGUCGAGCGGUCUGGUUUCGUCCCGUCAGCGGCGGACGGGUGAGUAACGCGUGGGACCCUGCCCUGGAGCCUGGAAUCGCAGCGGGAAACUGCUGGUAAGACCGGAUACGCCCGAGAGGGGAACGGCUUGUCGCUCUGGGAUGGGCCCGCGUCCGAUUAGCUAGUUGGUGGGGUAACGGCCCACCAAGGCUGCGAUCGGUAGCCGGUCUGAGAGGAUGAUCGGCCACACUGGGACUGAGACACGGCCCAGACUCCUACGGGAGGCAGCAGUGGGGAAUAUUGGACAAUGGGCGCAAGCCUGAUCCAGCGACGCCGCGUGGGUGAUGAAGGCCUUCGGGUUGUAAAGCACUUUUAGCGGGGGAGAUGAUGACGGUACCCGGGGAAGAAGCACCGGCUAGCUCCGUGCCAGCCGCCGCGGUAAUUC